UGGCAAAACGCAAAGGGACUUGUA
rnacentral:piRNA from 1 species